UUCAGGCUUGACUUUCUCCCCAUUCCACAGGACAUGAAGCUAGCCCAUUAUGAUGAUGACAUCAGCCUAAUAGGACUUGGAGGCCAGGAUGCAGCAGGUGCUUUAGAUACCCUAGGUAAGAUACAUGUGUUAACCUAAGAGACAUAUACCGUGGAAAUAGAGGAGGCUGGCAGCUCAGUAAGUAUAAAUCCUUCAUAAACUCCAGGGCUUUGCAUAUCACCUUCAAAAGAUGGUAGGGGCACCUUGCAACUUCUACCAUUAAGAAAGAAGCACACUGCCUGGCAGACCUCUUUAGAUUUGGGAGGUAAUAUGCACUGCGCUUAAGCAUGCUGUUUUGCCCCUUUUACUGUGUGACCUAAAAGGCUUCCAGGAAGGAGCAGACCCAGAACAAGAACAAAAUGAAGUAGUGGGUGUAGCAUCUUUCACUAUUACAUCUAAUGACCUGCUUAGGAAAAUCCUGAUUCUCAUUUCCACAACUAUGGGCUCUGCUAGUUUAGAACUCUUAAUAACCAUUCAAGAAAUGUUUCCACCAAACAAAAAUGAUGAUGCUGAAGUAAAAGCUGAAACAGUCCCUUGACCAUUUGGGGCUCCUCAUAGCACUUGAACGACAGGUGUAAAGGGGGUUAUCGUGUUGACUAGAAUGAUUUGCCUUGAUUAUCAGGGGCAAAUAGGGGAGCUGUUACACAAUGGAGCCAGGGAACAGGUGUGUCUGAAACCCAGGAUAUGCCUUCUAUCUCUGUUAGGAAAGAACCCAGUUUCUCCUCCCGUUUCUCCUUUACUCUCACACUACUAUCCCAUUCACAACACUUCUGACCCCAGAUGUGUGGGAGUUUUUCCCCACUCUAAGCAAUUCUUUGUGAGACCAGCUGGGUGUCCUACGAUUUAACUCAUGCCUGACACUACCACCUGGAGAUAGCAUCAGGUCCCGAGGUUAAGGGCUCAGUCCCACUGGACUGCCCCUUGCACCCUCUCCAGAUGCCAAUCACAAGUCCAGGGGGUUGCCUGUGCUUCUGACAGAUGGGCUAUAAAUCAGAGGUCUUACAACCUCCUCUCAGAUUCCAUUAUUUGUUAGAACAGCUCAUAGGACCCAGGGAAACACUUACUUACUGGUUUAUUAUAUAAUAAAGGGUACAAUAAAGGAUACAAAUGAAGAGAUACACAGGGCAAGGUCUGGGAGUAUCCCAAGCGCGGGAGCUUCUGUCCCCGUGGUGUGGUGUGUCACCCUCCUGGUAUGUGGAUGUGUUCACCAACCUGGAAGUUCUUCAAACUCCAUAUUGUCAGGAUUUGAGGAGGCUUCCUCACGUAAGCAUGGUCAAUUAUUAACUCUGUUUCCAACCUCUCUCCCCUGCCUGGAGAAUGGGGGGUGGGGCUGAAAAUUCCAAGCUUCUAAUUAUGGGGGUUCUUUCUGGUGACCAGAUCACCCAGAAGCCCACCUGGAGUCACCUCCUAGUGCUCUUAUCGCUUAGGAAUUUGCAAGCGUUCUAGGAGCUCUGUGCCAGGAACCAGGGGUAGAGAAAUUUAUAUUUUUUAUUAUUUCACAAGCUCCCAGUACUUAAGUGUCCAGUGACAUUUAAAUGAAAAAGCACAUACAGAAUCAUUCAGCCACCAGGCUGAGGCCAAAGGAGUGGUAGCAUAGAAUGGACAGUAGAGGAAAGAAGACAUACAAAUCUCAACUCUGACUAUUUAAUCCAUUGAACCGGGAACGGCUAUAAUAUGUACUUGUAUUUUUUCCUUGCUGUCAUAGCUAAUUGUUUUUUCCCUCUUUUCUGUUCCCUUACUAAAUUAUAUGGAGGGUUGUCAUGAUGGUUAUCACUACAAGAGUAUCCCUGGGUUACAGGAUAUAAAGACAGAAUCCAGAUGGAACUAGAGGAGCAAAUGCAUCACUUGGAGAUCCUGGACUUGGAUUUGGAUGAGAUCUCGCUGAUGAGACCUUGAGUUGCUGCCUUUUGGGAUAGAGAAUAAGCCUGAUUUUCAUUUCGGGAGAUAGUUGUAUUAUCUCAGGUGGGAAAAUUGGGGAAAUUGUUAUUGGUAAGCUUAAGUAUGCACGGAGAGCACAUGUUAAGGGCAAACAAGACUGACUCUAUUGUAGAUAUUUGUCACAUUUUCUGGCUGCCCAGCAAUUUUUGAGCACCUUGCUGUGUUUUAGGAACUUACUGCCUUAUAAGUCUAACCCCCUCAAUCCCCAAAGGAAAAUCCAGAAAAUCUCUGUUUCCCAGUUUUCCUGUCAACUGUGGCAUAAACACUUAAUCCAGACUCCAUCCAUGCGGCUUAUCCAUGGAGACACUGAUUUGGAAGUUAGCAAUGUAAGAAAACAGUGCUGCAUGUACACAUAUAUUUUCUGUCAGUAAGGUAGCAGAAGAAUCUGGUUUUUGGAGCCCUCAAGACUGAGUUCUUGGUGAAGAGAUGGCACAGAUACUGACAGCAGUAGCAAUUGCAAUAAAAUUUAAUUUCUGACACAGAAGCGGUAGCAGGGGAAACCACAGAUUUGGUUCGUGCUAAGGGAAAACAACUAAGAUGUUUUUCUUGUAAAGCCAGUUCCGUGGCAUGGCUUGGGGCUCUUAGAAAUCUAGGGCUGAGGCUGACUCUCUGGUCUUGUCAAUUAGUCUGCAAAUCACCCAGAAUCCAGAGUUUCUGUUGCUUGCACUUGUGACUGACUGAUUGAUCAGAUACUAGUUCCAUUUGAAAGGGUUGAAGGGUUUGUGAGAAGAAAGAAUAAAGGCAAGUCUAGAAAGUGUGAGGUAGGAAGCUGAGGUUUAGACUAGAUCAGUGUUCUAGGUCAGGGAUUGUACAGGUGGAUAACAGUCUCAUUCCUGGUUUGACUUAGUGAAGAACUCACCUGGCUUUCUAAUCACAAUUUUUAAUAUGUUAAAAUUCACUACAGAUCAUUUUUCUGGUAUAUAACUGAAAGAAUAAUCAAACUCAAAACUGUCUAGAUGUCACAUGACUGUGUCUUCUUGAUAAGGAUUCAAGCUUGACCUUGGCAUUCCCUGAACUUCCCUUCUGUGAAGUCCAAAAAUUGCACUUCAGCAAAGUUACUUCUAUAAGAAACAUUUCUGAGGAAUAACCUCUUACUCAGUGUGGAAUGGAAACAAGAGAAGUAACCUUCGACCCUUUAAUCAAUCAUGUGCCAGAUCCAGGAGCCUAUGUAUUCCUCCCAACAACCAUAUGAGGUUGGAAUGAUUAUAUUCAUUUUACAGAUGAUAAACGUAACCGGAGAGUCUCCCAAGUGAAUUCCUCAGUUUUCAGAAUUCCCACCUGCCAGGCUAAGUCGGCCCCAGGAGGCCUGGCCGAGGCCCCAGUUCUCCUUAUGCUCCAUAACAAGGGGCUCACGGAAAAGUUAGCAAUGCUUUUUCACAUCAAGCCCGGGACCACUGGAACCUAAUACAAAAGGCAGAGGGAGGUGGGUGGUCAAAGAGCAUAGUGCGCUUGUUCUUGGCGGGGUUGAUGGCAACCACUCCCAUCUGUAACAUUUACAGACAUGGUUCCCAUUUGUUUUCUUACUGAAUGAAAUCUUCCCAAGGACCCUCGGAGGCAGGUAGCAUGAGACCCAUUUUAAAAAUAGAGAAACUGAGACUCAGAGGCAGACUCCCACAUGCACAGUUCUGUACAGUUACACAACCAGUAGCCAGCAGAACUGAGUUUUGAGCUCAAAUCAUCUGACUCUAAAACCUGUAUAUUUUCCACUGCAUUGAGCUUCAGGGUGAAAUGAGGAAGGAGCAUCCUUCUGGAUAAAGUCAUGGGCCUGGGAGUCCCUCGUAGGAGGCCAGUAUCUUUUCUCAGGGUGUUUGGGGACCUUUAAGACAAAUCACCCUAUUCUGUACUCUAAGCUGGUGUGGCGUGCUUUCUCAAGCAUCCAGGCUCAGGGAUAUCAGUGUACUGGGAAAUAAGGUGGUGUUCAUUAACCAUACUCCUCCCUCAUAAGCCAACUUGCAAAGUAACUGAGAUUGUCCAUAGGAUUAUUCAUAACUGAUUAUUCAUAGAUGUUACACAGACUAAGAUAAAAACAUUAGCCUUAUGGCUGAUAGAGGAGACCACGGCUUCACCUCCCCAGACUUCCUACUAUUUAUCCCCCAAACUCAGUCCUCCCUCUCUGCGGGAUAGAACAUGUUCCAGUGAGUUCCCUGCAUGAAGCAGCAGAGAACCUGAGUUUGCAGAAAGUAGGCUGCUCCAGAAGAGAACUUUCCCAUUCUCAUUAUUCCAGUUAGUCCGUCUUCCUCUGCUGGAGGGCACUGUGUGAAGGGUGGAGGGGCUGCAUGUGUCUGCCCACCCCUCUCCUCUUCUCCAUGACAAGGUAAGGAGAGAGGAACAAGCGUUUCUUUUUCUCCACACUGUGCCUCCCACAGGCCAACGUUCUGAGGCUACCAGGGACCAUCAGCUGAUGCACAAAUGUAAUCCAUUCCGAUGAGGAAUGAGAGAUGAUGAUCUUUGCUGUCUUAUCUAAGAGUAGAUAGAUGGGACAAUCACAUAGGAGGGGCCUGAUGGGAUCACCAAAGGAUUGUCAGGGCUAGAGAGAACCUUAGAGACUGUGUGCAACAAACGCCUACGUAUCUGACAAGCUUCUACUUUCGUGGGAAGUAGGGAGGCUGGGAUGUGAGCCCAGACAUGUCGUCUGGUUGGCCUAAAGGAGUCUGAUGACCUCAGCCGCAUACUCAACUCCCUUCUAAGGCUCCCUCACCUUGGGUCCCGUGCUGACACUGUUGGCUCCCCCAGCUGGGCCAUAACUAAAUAGAAAUCUGAAGCAAGGAACCUAAAUGCUGGCCUAUAAUCUGGACAGUAGGGAGUCCAGUAACUAAUUGAACCAAUCAGAUUCUUCUGUCUUUUGAGGAUCUUUGAAUAGGAGGCUUUGGACAUUGGGCAGUUGAUAGGAGGGGCAAAAGGCACAGAGAACAGGCAGUAAGAAGACAGGAGAUGAAGCUCUGAGUGAGUGUGAGGUCAGGUGGAGAGUAAAGAGCAAUGCAUAAGUGGAGAUGUGGACAGUAGGAGAAACUAUGGAGGAGCUGGAUCCCAGUGAUGCUGAAGCUCUAGAAUCAGGAGCUCUGCACCUACUGCUGCUGAGAGGGGCAGAGAUCAUGCAGUUGCCAGACCCAUGCUGGAUCAUGUGCUACCUUCCAAUUACCAUCCUAAGUUCUAGGCCCUGGGGAGGUCAUUUACUGAGCUGUUUAUAGGUUGCCAGAGACCUAGUUUUAUGGCCAAGAUACCAUCUUCCUUAAGGCACAUAGCUUCAUAAGCCACCAACACUCAAGGUGAUCUGGAUAAGCCUCUUUGUACCUCACAACCCAAACAAUCUAACAAAGAGCUUUUUCUAUUGGCACGUUCACCUGUACAAACCAUACACAUUAGUAUUAAACAUUUUGAUCCAACAGUUUUAUUCCCUGGUGCUCAUAAGAUCUGAGAUCUUCUUAAUUAGCCCAGAACGCAUUGUGGUCAUUUCCUCCAUCUCAAACCAUCAGGGAUGUGGCUAUAGAAACCUCCCUGCAUAGCCUAAACAACUCCUUUUUUUGUUUUCCUGGCACUCUAAGCAGGGACUUCUUGAGCAUCCAAGCUGUCUGUCCUGAGGUCAGAGAAGGUGUGAGCAGUCAAGAUGAUGAAGUGCCCAGAGCGAAACUUCCUGCUCGUUGGAAGUAGAGCAGGAUGGCUCUAACAAGGAAGAAGCAGUUUAGAAUCCUCUGCAGCCUGUGAUAGGGGAGGACCAGUGUUAUAACUAACAGCCAGUCUGUACUGGGAAUGGAUACAGGUAGGUGACAUCUGCCUCCAUCAAACCUUUCUCUCGUUUUUCCAACAGAAUGACAUAGCACCUCGCUAUAUCCCUUACCGAUUGCAUCUGAAGAACUCAAACUAUUCACCAACUAUUCUGCCUUUCUGAAAAGUGACAGAGAAUGAGAGGGUUGUGGCCAUGUAACUGGAGAUAUGGGGCAAAAAAUGAUUAAAGAGCAGCAUCUCAAGUAACUACUGCCAUAGAGACGUUUAGUACUAUUGUACAGGAAAUGCCAGAGCACCGUGCAAAUGGAGAAGUUAUUUUCCAUUCUGAGCUCUAGCAGGAAGGAACUCCUCUAGCCAGAGAACCUUAAUUCUUUUUUGUCACGACAAUCUCUAAUGAAAACAGCCACUAGAAGAGAAGGGUCCAGCAGAAUGCAUAUUCAGAGCCCCUGGGUUUGAAAUUUAGAGCACCAGCCUCACUCAGCUCUUCCUAGACUGUGUGUGCAGAAAGAGACAAUUGCAUCCUGUAGAAAGAGGUAGACCUCCCAGCACAGGGCACACUGUGUGAGAUGGAGAGACAUGGGCUGCCUACAGAGAAUGAGACCCAACUUGCCCCUCUGCUUCAGGGUCAUUACCGAAACACCUGAAGAGGAGCUGGAGCUGAGAGUCAGAACCCGCCACAGGCUUUAACUCCAUGUGUUCUACAGCUUCCUUCAGUUAUUCUCAACCCUUCAUUUUGCCAUAUUCAUAGAGUUCUGAGUCUGGUGAAUUCCAAGGCGAUAUUAGAGUCUCCUAGAAAAAUAAAGAUACUCACUGUCUUUUACCAAUUUCUUUCCCAAGGUUCCUACCUCAUAUACAACAGCUCUUCAUUUAAAGGGACAUGGUAAUUGGGUGGAAAGACCAUGUCACUUGCUGUUUUAUGUAGUUUAUGUGGAUGAGACUUCCUGUGCUGUAUGUACUUCCUUAUCUGCAGUGUCAAUUUUUAUGAUCCUAUGGUAAAUUUACUAACAUGGAAAGACUGGGCAGGGGUCUGGGGGAGGAAGCGAAUAAUUCAGACAGGAAAACACCAAGGCCAAAAAUUAGUUGUGCCUUGGCAAUCCUUAGAGAAUGAGAUUUGAGUCCCUGACUGCACUUGUAGCUGUGUUCAUUGUGAGGAUAGGUAUUUGUCCUCUGAUAAUAAGUAGACUUUAAUCCUAGGUGUGAGCACAAGUCAUGUCAACAGGUGUGGUUCCAGAGAAAUUCAUAGUAAUUGCCCAGAACAUACCAGGCCACAACCAAAUUCUCACACUGAGGAAUUACGGGCAAGUAAGAAUGUCAGUCUUGGUACAGCUCAUUAUGUAAUGGAAACGGCACUGAUUCUUCCAAGUCAACAAACAUCUUCCAAUGCUCCAGGAGCCAGCCAGGCAAGCUAUUCCAGCAAUGGAGAGGUGUGGCUCUGGUGUGUGGCGACACACUGCGAACACCCAAGCUCCAGAGUGCCUAUUAGUUGCGUAAUGGAUAGAUGAGUCAAAGAUCAUGCCUCCUAGGUUGUCAGCUGCUUGGAACUUGCUGCAGUCUGUCAGUAGCUCCAUGCAAGCAAUCCAGGGGCUGAUCAUGAGCCCAGAGUCACCAUCGAGACAUGAGUUUCAGUGUUGUAGGUGAAGAGGCAAGAUAAACAUACAUACUCCUGAGUCACAUCCUUUAAUUCAGAGAGGGCUAUUCGGUCAGGGACCGUGUUUCUGUGAGCAUCUUCCUUUUCUUCAGGACAUUGUGAAUUUAUGAUGACAGCACAAGGGAAGGAGCAAAGUGAGGCUGUGGUCCGCCAGAGCCAGCUCUCGCCAGGUUUGCAGUCCUACCCAUAAGACAUGGCCAUGAGCAGUGACCAGUCAAUAGCACCCACAGCUACGGUUCCAUAUUCUCUCAGGUGAGCUUCCUCCCACAAGUGCCCUGACUGUAUUGAUAUGGACACCAGUCACCGUGCUAUCUGAUCACCCUGGAGUUGGGGGGUGGUUAUCUUUCCAUUCCAUCCCCUGUGGUCCCAGAAGAAUCAGGGAGCCAUAGACUCCCAGGUUUAAAUCCUGGCUAAGCUACUUAAUAGGUGGAUGACAAUGGACAAUUAACCUCUGAGCUUCAAUUUCGUCCUCUGAAAAUUAAGGAUAAUAAUAUUACUUUGAUAGGGUAAUUUCGAAGGUUGAAUUAAAUCGGGUAUAAAAAGGACCGAACACAAUGCCGAGCACAAGUAGAAGCCACAUUAAUGGUACUUCCCAUCUCUGGAGACAGCGUCUCAGGAUUGGGAAAAAAUGUUAAAUAAAACUCUCCUUCUGCUUGUCCAUUGCUAGAAUCACCUAUUGCACCUCUAAGACAUGUGGUCAUCCAGCCUCUGUUUUGAGUCUAUCUAAGGCAAGGAACAAUCCCCUUGGGGAGUUCUGAGGGUCCUGCUGACACUGCGCUGAGAGACAAUGCCCAGGGGCCUCUGCUGUGUGUAGCAGCAUCCCCUGACCCACAUGCCAGAGGGGGCCUUGAUUCUGUGCAGACACACCACAUAAUUCAAGACUAUCCCCGAGCAAUGUGGGAAUCUCAUCCCUCAAUCCUCAGUAUCUUGGGGUGAAUUCUAUUCCAGUGUAGAUGCCUCUUCACCUUCCUUGAGCUUUGAUUCUAACCAGUGUUGAUUCUUCUUUUUUGGAUUCAAAUAUCUUUCUACCCAAUGAGAAUGACAGAAAACAAGGAUAAGAAUCCUUUCUCCAUGUUUCUAGGGCAGACAGUCUUUCUAUGCUAACUGCUACAGGCAGAAUAAGGCCCCCCAGAUGCCCACAUCCUAAUCCCUGGAGUAUGGGGGAUAUGUUAUGUUACAUGUAAAAAAUAAUUUUAUAUGGCAAGGAGGAAUUAAGGUUGCACAUGGAAUUAAGCUUGUUAAAUAGCAGAUUUUAAAAUGAGGAGAUUAUACUAGAUUAUCCAGAUAAACCCAAUGUAAUUACAAAGCUCUUUUAAAUGUGGAAGAGAGAGGCAGAAAAGGUUUAAAGAUGCUAUGUCGCUGGCUUUGAAGAUGGAAGAAGGGUCUAUGAGCCUAGGAAUGCAGGUGGCCCCUAGAAACUGGCAAGGCAAGGAAAUGGAUUCUCUUCUAGGGCCCCCAGAAAGACAACAGCUCUGCUGACACUUUGAUUCUAGUCCAGUGAGACUCAUUUAGGACUUCUGACCUCCAGAAUUGUAAGUGAAUAACUUUGUGUUUUCAGCUACCAACAUCAUAGUAAAUUCAUUAUAGCAGCAGGAGAAAACUCAUACAUUAACCCAUUCUGAGCCUCCUCCUCCAUUGCCAUCGUCCACUGUAGAGUCUGCAAAGUCCAAUAGAGAUGGUCCCCAAUUUAGGAUGACUCGACUUCUGAUUUUUCAGCAAAGAUGGCACAAAAGUGAUAUACAGCCAGUCAAGACCAUACUUCAAAUUUCGAAUUUGGGUCUUUUCCCGGGCUACGAUCUGUGGUACCAUUCUGUCCCGUGAUGCUGGACAGGGGUGUCAAGCUGUAGCUCCCGGUCAGACACACCGCACCAGCGUCAGCAGCUAUGGUGAGGGGAGGACUGAAAGAGCACACUCUCCCCUUGCCAGUUCCUCCUUACAACACUGUCCUCCCUGGGUGAGCAGCAGGAUAAUGGCAAUGCCGCAGAAGGCUGACUACAGAGGGCUCUUCUCUCUUCCAGGCAUCUUCUGAUAAUGACAGGUGCAGGUGGGUGGUUGGCCUCUGAUCAUUACCUUGCUUCCCCUGAUCUGAGACUAGGAAAUUACAACCUAGGACACCACUUGCGCAAGACCUGUGCCCUGAUAACUGGUUUAUUCAUUGCCUAAGGAGUGGGAUUACCUGGGGUCCUGGGAAGAACUUAUGUGGAACGGUUGAGCCUACCAGAGCACGCCCCCCUCCGCCUCCAUCCCACUCAUCCAGAGAAGAAGACUGUUCAGGCUUUCAUCUCUCUCUGCAGGUGCAUGGUCAGCCGGGGUGGCCAUCAGACACAGGGGAAUAUGAGCUCACAGACACACAAAAUGAUGAGGCAUCUGAGGAGUGAAAACACUAUAAAAUAAAAAUGACAAACUGAAGAGCCAGAAUCAGAGGAAGCACAGUUAAAGGACCAGCAAAAUAAAUACCAAAUUACAGAUGUCCUCAGAAACACAGGGGAGGAAAUAGCAUGUGAAAAAACAAUAGACAUUAUGAGGAAGAAACAAUGCCAUAUGAGAAAUAAUGCAAGUAACUUUAACGUUAUUGCUGCCUAAAUAAAUAAUGACAAAAAAUUAAGCAAACACAAAGCACAUCUGUGACAGCACAUGGCUAACACUAGAGGCUACCGAAAUGCUGGCAGAAAAGGCUGGGCCACAGGGACGUGAAAUUGUGCCAAGAUACUUGACUUGCUUGGGGGAGAAGAGAUGGAUAAUUUUAAAAGGUUUAAAGGGCCUGAAAAUAAGGUGACAAGGAGAAACACAUCACAUAAUAAGAGCCAAAAGAAAGCUGGAGUAGCAGUUUAACUUUAGGCAACAUAGACUUUACAUUCUUUAUCCCUCCCACCUCCAAAAAAAAACAGACUAAGAGAAAAAAUUAUGAUGUCAUAUAAUUGUACUAGUAGACCCCACAAACAUAACGAUUAUGAACAUACAUGCAUCUAACUAUUCAACCUUCAAAUAUAUGAAGCCACACUGAGAGAAACACAGAUAAAAACAACGGUUUUUGGAAGAAGUUUUAAGACUUCCUUCUCAGAAACCGUUAGAUCACACAGAUUUAAGGAAUUAAGCAGUAUAGAAGAUUUGAUAAAUACAGGAUUGGACAUUCUUAAACCAGGACUUAUCAAUGUAUUUUCUUUCUCAGCACAUUUGAAGGAAGAGGCUGACUAUAUAGCAAUGAUUCUCAGAAGUAGAAGGAGAGUUAAGAAAUAGAGAAAUAGUACAAAUUCAUAAAAUUAGUAAUGAUGAGGGGUAUUUAUAGAAUCAGAAAAAUAAAGCUAGUCUGGAAGUUGAAAAAUUUGCAUGGAAGAGAUGAAAAUCUGGGACAUUUGACUCAACAAGAGUAAGACUCUAAUAUAAACAUCAAAUAUCUAUCUUUUUUCUUUUUUAAGAAAGACCCUGGCUAACCCAGGAUUCAUCUCCUUUAACUUGUAGAACUAAUAUUUAGUAAUUAACACCUACUCUGUGCCAAGCAUUCUCCCAUGUAGCAACUCACUUAAUUUUUACAGCAAUUUUAUGAGCUAGGUGCCAUUAUUAUCCCCCCUUUGAUGCUGGGAUUCUUGUUAGCAGAGUCGAAGAAUGAACUUCGCAAACACUCAAGGUAAGAGAGCAAGGCAGAGGCUUUUAUUUAGAAAUAGAGCGAGACGAGAGGACAGAGCUCCUGGCUCACACCAGGAGGGGACAAGAGACUCCCUGGGUGGUGUGUUGUCAAGGGGUUUUAUAGGUGGUUGAGAGACAAAGGGCUAGGGAUGCACACCUGCUAAGUGGUCCGAAAAUAUUUAAGUUUCUUAUUAGUCUUCUGGGUUAUUUACAAGAAAUUUACUGCUCUGAUUUCCUCCCAGGAUAACAGCUUCCUGGUCUGGGAACAUAUCAAUCAAGACAGCCUGCUUUGCUCCCAAGGUGGGCUGAGUUAUUAUCUGUUUGUUAAAGAGUAUGUUAAGAAACUUACCUUUUAACUAAAUGGGUUUUAAAAUGCAAUCUUAUUUUCAAGAGGGAAUCCUUCUUGUUAUUACUAUGUUGUUUUGGGCUUGCUUGUUAAAUUUCCCAGGUUGCAGAUCACUUGAUUAGGGCUGGAGGAGGAAAAACAGCACCUGGGUAAAGUCAGAAAAAUAAGCUGGGCCCCCCAGCAGGCCAAAGCAAAUCUCACAAUGGAUUAUCUUGCUUUGUUUUUUCCAGAGGCCCUCACCCUACUCUGUCUAAGCCCAUGGUCCCUGUCUCACUUUACAGAAAAGGAAACCGAGGCAUGGUAAAAUUAAGUAUCUUGCCCAAGGUUACCCAAGUUAUAAAUGUGCUAUAAGUAAGCACUUACGCUAAAUAUCAUAAUAAUAUUAUAUUAUCACCAUUAUUUCUAUUUUUUAAAUGAGGAAUCUGACGUAGGGAGGGUUUAAUUUUCCCAAGGUCGCAGAGCUAAGAUGUGAUGGAGCAGGCACUUGCAUCCCAUUAGUCUCACUCUAAGGCCCAGGCACAUGACUGCCAACCCGCGUCUCACCAACAAGAUUGUGGGCAGCUCUCUAUAUACUCCUUUUGAAAGUGCCCAAGGGGGAGAAGGAAUUGAGCCCCAAACAUAGUAUGUAAAAUAUCUCCUUUAAAAAUACA